ACCUGCAUCUUAAGUUAGAAGUGACCCAAAACAUUUUUUUAGUUUAAUUAAUAAGAUGUGAUGCCUAAGCGAUAUUGACAUGUGAGUGUGGAAGAUUGUGUCAAGCUCAUUUCUCAUUGCAAAAUCGAAUGAUUGCAGAAAAUACGAAAUACGAGUUGCUCGAAGUCACGUCCGUCUCUCUCCCUCAUGAACUUCGUACUAAUGUUCUCUCAGUAGUUCUUUACAUGAGCAUGCAUGCACGAGCAACUAAUCUUUUAAGUGGCAUUCCAGUGCCCAUGUUACAGCUCAAGCAGAUAUGGUUUGUGCAUCCUGACGGAGGAUGUAUGGAUUAAGUUUCUGUGUGGCAGUAAUCUCGUUACCUAUUAUAGACCAAGAAGGUUGGUGAGAAAGCUGAACUAGAGGUGCUAAAGUUUACUGAUGAGUGUUUCUCGAGCAAAGAGGGCUCCAGACCCCAGAUCAAGACUAUGCAAUUAUAGUGAUGAUCGGCCCAACACUGUGAGCUUCCAGAGUGUGAGAGAUGAGGACUUUGGUCACUACCAGUGUGAGGUGAAGGAUGCAGCUGCUGGGAAAGUGCUCCUCACUCUCUACACAGCUCUCUAUAUACAAAAAAGAGCCAACUCAGGUGAAAUUUAUAUCAAGAGUCAACGAUUACAGAGAGCGCCACCUGGCUGACAUCUCCGAUAAGUCAGACACAAAACUCAUGAAGCCGCACCAAAAAAUUCUGAACUCCGAAGAAACCCUUGCUCUCAAAAACCAACCAACGCAGCAUCCAACGCAGAUAUAUCUAUUGGACAGGAAAACUUUUUUUGUACCACACUGUCCCAUUUAUGCACGUCUGUUCUCUCUCAAACUGUCCAUCAAUGAUCAUGCAGCAUGUCUUCUUUCAGGAGGUGAGUCAGGUUUGCAUUGAGUGUUAAUUGACUAUAUACAUGCUUGUUUUCGAAACUUCACAUAAUUAUUCAAACCCAGCUGUGACAGAUUGAUUGUCUUGUCAGUUUUUAAAGUUUUUCCUUUCUCUCUCUCACUGCUGAUUGUCCUGUGUGACAGAUGAUGCAACUCUGCAUGCAUGGCUAAGCUCGGCCCCUACAUGUAAGUGUUACUGCUCAGUUCCCUCACUCAUGCACACCUCUCAAAGUACUCAUUGAGCAUGGCUAUAGAUAGUCUGGCCACGCCCUCCACUAACCUUUGUUACACAGUUAUCUAUAACCAUGGAACAUAAGUACUUCGACAACGUACAUACAAACACCCACUCUAUGCUACAGAUGACGUAUAAUUGUGCGUUCUUUGUUGCUAGGAAACCAUAUCAGAUUCACAAACUAACGACAGUACACAUAGAGACAAUGAACAGGUUAGCUCGAUCAGUAAACAGGCCUGAUUUAGUUUCAUAAGCUACGUAUACUUUCCUGAUGUCAUAACUCCACUAAAAAGUAAAUGUUCAAAGUUACAAGUUAGUAAUUAAAUUUAAAUGUUGGCAUUGUUCGAAUGUUGUCUAAAGUGGUACAGUAUAUACGUAGUCCAAUUCCAAUGCAUCUUUCCCCACCUCAGAUUAUCUGACUCCCCCAGCACUGCUGACAGUGCAACUAUAAUUGUGACGAUACCAACACUAACCACACCCUUCCCAUACAGCACCCUCUCAGGUCAAUUCUGGAAUGUUCCUAUCAAGUACAGCCCUAUACACUGGACCUGUGUGGGGUGGAGUCAACAGCGAUGGCUAUGCACUACGUCAUAACAACCAACCAUCCCAACGAGCCACAGCGAUCUUUCGUCGGCUAGCUCUGACCCCUAACCUGGGAGUACAAGAUGGAGUACUGUCUCUAUGCUGGACAAAACCAGGCCGCUCCUCUGUACGAGAUCCUCAAUGAUACUGUCAACAGUCUGGUGAUAUUCGGGGAGUACACUGACUACGGAGUAUACGUCACUGACUUCAGUUACAGCCAUUUCGAGGAGUCCAGAUGUGCUGGUGAUAUCACUACCCCAGCCUAACACAAAUUUUAUGCAAUAAUUGUGUGUAUAGAUUUCUAGUUGAAAAACUACAGAACAUUAAUUAGUUUGAGUGAAUGUGAGUAAUGCUAUAUUCUGAUGAACGUUUGAAUCAAUUUAUUUACGAUCAUAAUUAUGCAAUGUAAUGUAAAUGUAAUUAAAUGUGUACAAAAAAGAAAUUCAAUUUAAAGCAAUGUAAUUAAUUUUUCAUU